GGCUGGUCCGAUGGCAGUGGGUUAUCAGACCUUAUUAACAUUAGUGUCACUAAAGUUGGUAUACAACCCCCCACUGCUAAAUUUGACUGGCUUUAA
ensembl:misc_RNA Y_RNA Y RNA